GGGGGAUAAUCGGGAGAAAUCCCGUCUAAUACCGCGUAACGCCGCGGGGCUGCAUGGCCCUGCGGCCAAAGGGAGCGAUUCCGGCAACGGAUGGGCAUGCGUGACAUUAGCUAGUUGGCGGGGCAACGGCCCACCAAGGCGACGAUGUCUAGGGGUUCUGAGAGGAAGGUCCCCCACACUGGUACUGAGACACGGACCAGACUCCUACGGGAGGCAGCAGUGAGGAAUAUUGGUCAAUGGGCGCGAGCCUGAACCAGCCAAGUCGCGUGAGGGAUGACGGCCCUACGGGUUGUAAACCUCUUUUGUCGGGGAGCAAAUUCCGCCACGUGUGGCGGAGUCGAGAGUACCCGAAGAAAAAGCAUCGGCUAACUCCGUGCCAGCAGCCGCGGUAAUACGGAGGAUGCGAGCGUUAUCCGGAUUUAUUGGGUUUAAAGGGUGCGUAGGCGGACUGUCAAGUCAGCGGUAAAAUACGGGGGCUCAACCUCCGCCCGCCGUUGAAACUGACGGUCUUGAGUGGGCGAGAAGUAUGCGGAAUGCGUGGUGUAGCGGUGAAAUGCAUAGAUAUCACGCAGAACUCCGAUUGCGAAGGCAGCAUACCGGCGCCCAGCUGACGCUGAAGCACGAAAGCGUGGGUAUCGAACAGGAUUAGAUACCCUGGUAGUCCACGCAGUAAAC
rnacentral:rRNA from 1 species